rnacentral:rRNA from 1 species
UACGAAGGGGCUAGCGUUGCUCGGAAUCACUGGGCGUAAAGCGCACGUAGGCGGGUCUUUAAGUCAGGGUGAAAUCCUGGAGCUCAACUCCAGAACUGCCUUGAUACUGAGGAUCUCGAGUCCGGGAGAGGUGGAGUGGAACUCCGAGUGUAGAGGUGAAAUUCGUAGAUAUUCGGAAGAACACCAGUGGCGAAGGCGGCUCACUGGCCCGGUACUGACGCUGAGGUGCGAAAGCG